CCUACGGGAGGCUGCAGUGAGGAAUAUUGGUCAAUGGGCUUACGCCUGAACCAGCCAAGUCGCGUGAGGGAAGACUGCCCUAUGGGUUGUAAACCUCUUUUGUCCGGGAGUAACGCCGGCUACGUGUAGCCGGACUGAUGGUACCUGCAGAAAAAGCCUCGGCUAACUCCUUGCCAGCAGCCGCGGUAAUACGGAGGAUGCGAGCGUUUUCCGGAUUUAUUGGUUUUAAGGGGUCCGCAGGCGGACGUUCAAGUCAGCGGUAAAAGUGAGGGGCCCAACCUCUUCGAGCCGUUGAAACUGGUGUGCUUGAGUGAGCGAGAAGUAUGCGGAAUGCGUGGUGUAGCGGUGAAAUGCAUAGAUAUCACGAAGAACUCCGAUUGCGAAGGCAGCAUACGGGAGCGCAACUGACGCUCAUGCACGAAAGUGUGGGUAUCGAACAGGAUUAGAUACCCCAGUAGUC
rnacentral:rRNA from 1 species